CCUACGGGUGACAGCAGUGGGGGAUAUUGCACAAUGGGGGGAACCCUGAUGCAGCGACGCCGCGUGGGUGAAGAAGCGCCUCGGCGCGUAAAGCCCUGUCAGCAGGGAAGAAAAUGACGGUACCUGAAGAAGAAGCCCCGGCUAACUACGUGCCAGCAGCCGCGGUAAUACGUAGGGGGCAAGCGUUAUCCGGAUUUACUGGGUGUAAAGGGGGCGCAGACGGCGAUGCAAGCCAGGAGUGAAAGCCCGGGGGCCAACCCCGGGACUGCUCUUGGAACUGCGUGGCUGGAGUGCAGGAGGGGCAGGCGGAAUUCCUGGUGUAGCGGUGAAAUGCGUAGAUAUCAGGAGGAACACCGGUGGCGAAGGCGGCCUGCUGGACUGCAACUGACGUUGAGGCCCGAAAGCGUGGGGAGCAAACAGGAUUAGAUACCCUUGUAGUC
rnacentral:rRNA from 1 species